UGAAUUCUUCCCUGGCAUGGUUUGGGGGAGCUUUUUAGGAUGACUGCGCCUUCACUUACAUAACUUCAGUACAAACCAAAGAUUUCAGUCCUGCGCCAACCUCCGGACUCGAGGCUAAACAGGGGGUGUUGUAAACCCAGCAGGAUUUUGCAGUGAGCACCCCAAACCUGGGCUUGGGGCUCGGGGGGAGGUGAUGAGCGGGUGUGGAGGGGUCAGGGGAGAGCAGGGGCUGGCAGGCUGGGAUGUGGCCACUUCAAAGUGCAUCCACUUCAGGUCCCUGCGCUCCUGCCUGGAUUUUGAUGCAGUAUUUCAGCACAGAUUCAGGGAGGGAUACUCCUGUAUUCCCAAGCUGCCAACCAGGCUGAGCAUUUUCACAUAAGGGACAGCAUCGUGAGCAGUGCUCAGGUUUCCAUCCCUCACUGCAGCUCCUGUUUUUCCCUGGAAUAGGCUUUUUAUAACGAUGGAGAAGCUGUGGGGUGAGUGGAAAGUAAUCAAGUGGUAGGCAGAACAAGGUUCCUCACACAGAUACGGUGUCUUGAUGAAGGUAAAACAUUUAGGUUGCCUGCAGGUAGAAAUAGCUACUGAGUGCUGUAUCUUAGAAGCUUGUCUGUUAAAAAAAAAUUAAAAAAAUAGGAAGGGGAUGGUAAGCUCAGGAUUAGACUAGGUCACACGGCCAGGCUGUGGAUUCUCCAUCAGUGGAAGUAUUAGGAGCAUGUCCUGCUCUGGGCUGCAGAGCCCUGGAUCAGUGUCGUGGAGUGCCUGUGUCACCCCACAAAGUGCUGGGUACAGGAGCACGCUCAGGCAGCCUGGAGAGCAUCACCUGCACAGGGCAGCUUGGGAGGAGCUUUCAGGAUUGCUGGGACAUGGGAGGAUUCCUGUGGGCAGCUCCUGAGGCAUUGCUGAAAGCACUGAGCCGCUCCCUGCUAUGCCUCGGAGCCCCUGGGGUUCGCUUCUUGCUGGGUUUUCAAGGCUGUGGGAGAGAAGGGAUCUUUUCCUCUUGUGCUGGAUGGGAAAACUGCUGCUGGGCGAGCUCCUGUGUCACAUGGGAGGGGGCUUAUCCAUCCUUUGGGUUGCAUUUGACUAUUUCUGAGACCCUCAGAGCUAAGGAAGAAGAAGCAAAUUUGGAGAGCAAUAAAGACUCGAUGGAUCAAUCCAGCUGCCCGUGGUCUCGAGGGCUCCUCUCUCAGUUCUGCAGGGCACUCAGAGGGAUGGGGUGCUCGUUCAGGUCACCUCAGGAUCUCUCUGGCUCCCAUUCUCUGGUUUAUGGAUCACUGUGCUGGGAUGUGUGUCUGUCUGUCCCUCUGUCCUGCCCACGGGUGCCUCUCUCCAUCCCCCUCCAUCUCUGUUCCUUUGGGCAGGCAGCAGCCACCUGGCUUGUCUAAAGUGCAUCUUUGGGGAGAUUCUCCCCGUUUUUCUGACCAGGGAACCUGCAGCAGGAGCAGGGCAGGGGGGAUGCAGGGUUUGCCUCCAUCUCCCGUGGGUGCCAGCUCCCAGGGGAGCCCUCCACACCUCCCAGGGGUUUCUCCAGCCAGGUAUUUUGGCCAAGGCAGCCCCGUGUGGUCUGGCAGUGUCCAUCUCUUGCUCCAAAAUGUGUUUCCAUAUUUAUACGUCCAGGGGAUGGGCCUGGUGGCAUCCUCGAAACCCGCGUCUGUUCAUUCUGUAAACUAAAGAACUGUAAAUAAAGUUUAGCAUUCCUAUUGUAACAAAUUAAUUUUUAUGCAAUAAAUU
rnacentral:lncRNA from 1 species